rnacentral:rRNA from 1 species
CAAUAGUGUAUAUUAAAGUUGUUGCAGUUAAAAAGCUCGUAGUUGGAUUUCUGGUGGGAGCGAUCGGUCUGGCGCUUAGCGCGAGUACUUGCAUCGUCUCCGGCCAUCCUUGGGGAGAGUCUGUCUGGCAUUAAGUUGUCGGGCAGAGGAUCCUCAUCGUUUACUGUGAAAAAAUUAGAGUGUUCAAAGCAGGCUUAUGCCGUUGAAUAUAUUAGCAUGGAAUAAUAAGAUAGGACUUUGGUACUAUUUUGUUGGUUUGCGCACCAAAGUAAUGAUUAAUAGGGACAGUUGGGGGUAUUCGUAUUCCGUUGUCAGAGGUGAAAUUCUUGGAUUUACGGAAGACGAACUACUGCGAAAGCAUUUACCAAGGAUGUUUUCAUUAA